rnacentral:rRNA from 1 species
UACGAAGGGGGCUAGCGUUGUUCGGAAUUACUGGGCGUAAAGCGCGUGUAGGCGGGUCUUUAAGUCCGGGGUGAAAUGCCAAGGCUCAACCUUGGAACUGCCUUUGAUACUGGAGACCUUGAGUCCGGGAGAGGUGAGUGGAAUUGCGAGUGUAGAGGUGAAAUUCGUAGAUAUUCGCAAGAACACCAGUGGCGAAGGCGGCUCACUGGCCCGGACCUGACGCUGAGGCGCGAAAGCGUGGGGAGCAAACGGG